CUUCUGGGAGUUGUCGUUCUGACGGCGGCGGUGACCCGGCUCCUCCCUUGCACAGGUGAUUAAAAGGUCAGUUGAAAUCGGGUUUAAAAAUUACCCACCAGACAAGAUACACCUGCAAAGACACCUGUGCCCAAUAACCGUCACUCGCUUCAGAAGCUGCAGGAAACUGGUCUGGCGUGUGAUUAACCGAAGUGCCCUCACAGAGCCCUCACGGAGCUGCGCUGAACAGCAACGGAUUUCAAUGUUCAUAAAGUUUAUAAAACGCAUUAAAUACUUAGAUUAACGUAUUCUAUGAACCAGUAAUGCUAAAUACUAGCACAUCUGAUAUCAAAUACAUCACAAAUACAAGAGUUGCUGACGUGUCGCUUCACUUGAUAUCUUUAAGGUACUGCCUCGGUUUGCACCUGGAAUACAGUGAUGUGACUCAAGCUGAACCAGCCCAGGUGGUCUUUGAGGUCGGCUCUGAAAGUAAACCUGACAUAGUUUGGCACUGGAAUUGUGGGGUUUUGAACAGCUGGAGAUGGUGGAUGGGAGUCAGUUCACGAACUGGGGAGUGGCACAUCUCCAACACCCACUUCCAACUAGGGAUAUUCCAUGAUUCCAUAAUACUGAACAACAACUUACUUGCCCAUAUUCUUGCUUUGCCACAGACACUCUCCAUCUCUUGCCACAGGAUCACCUUUGGAAAAGGGAAGGUCUCUGUCACCCUGUUCAGGGUUGGAAAACCAAAGGUUGCUUUUCAACAUUCGCUGGACCACAUCGAACAAACCCUCUCCCAACAGCUGCCUCGCUUUCCCUGCUUGCAAAUAAGGGAUAACAACACCUCUCCAGUCAAGUCCUUGUGCUAAAAACACCACAGAAGACCCAGGGUUGUUGUUGGAGAGGCAGGAAUUCCUGAGCCAGGGCAGGAACAGCCAUUAUUUGCAUCACUUGUAGCUGCUGGGUGUUUUCUGAACCAGUCUCGCUCCAUCCUGUCAAAGACACUGCUCCUGGCUGCUCUUCUGGAGGUGCUUCUUCAGCCCAAAGCUGCACAUUAAUGACUUAAUUGCAUGGAAAUUGCUGGAACCUGUAGCAGAAACUGUGACCCAGGGAUGCUGAAAUCAGGCAUGUAACAACAGAGCCCUCUUACCUCACAAUCUCAAAGUUUUCCUGCUGAGAGGAGAAGGAACUGGAAUGAUCUGUACUCAGCCAGCAGCUCGAUGGCCACGCCGGAGGAUGUUCCAAGAAGUUGCCUGGUUGGCAUCUUCUCCCAACCACAGGUGCAGGUUUUUUAACCCCACUGGAAGUCAGCAGAUGAUCCAGUGUGACCUCCUGCCACCUCCUGCCUGUCCCAAAGAGUUCCUGUGGCACCACAGAGGAUUUACCUGUUCCCUCAGCUUUUCCCAUCUUUAAUUAUCACGGCACUUGAACAAGGUGGCUCUUGGAAAAUUCACUCUUGGAAAAGCAAACAGUGCCAAUAGAUGGCAAACAGAGGAUUUUUCCCUGUUGAUUCCCACAGAUUUGGGCUUGUCUAAAGCUUCCAUAAUGAGCUAAAGGAAAUACAGGCACAUUUCAAUUAAAGAGCUACGAUAUCCCUGGGGAAACCUCUCCAAGAAAAAACUGCGUGAGGAAACAACCUGACUGCUCUCCAGUUUGGGUUUGGACACAUGAAAUUAAGUUCUCCUGAAGAAUAAAAUAUUUCCUGCUUUAGACAACUUGGAGCCAAGUGAUGUUGAUCCAUUUUCCUCCAGUAAAGCUCAGGCUGUUGGAUUUAACCCCAGGUUUAACUUUCCCCCAAAGAUCCGCCAUAAAAUUGAGGCUUGUUCACUUGGAUUUUCCUGUGGGAAUGGAAGGGUUUCAAGGAAUGAAUAUCCAGGAAUACUAAAAAUUACUCUUAGUUUUGAACAGUGAACCACCAAUAACAAGCUCCCAGCCCUGGAGAGCUUUGAGUGUUCCUACUCCAUUUUUAAGCUGCAUCCACAUUGUUGGAAGCGUCCGAAAAAACCCCGUGGAAGUGGCACCUGAGGACACGGUUUUCAGAGUCACAGAAUCAUCAGAGUGGGAAGGGACCUCUGGAGAUCACCCAGUGCUGGUCUGAUGGUUGGACUUGAUGGUCUUGGAAGUCUUCUCCCACCUGAACAAUUCUAAGAUUCCACGAUUUUGAAGUUCCAUCCCACCCCACUUUUAAAUCUCCUACUUGGUUUGUGAACUGCUGUUGCACACUGGGUUGGACAAUGUGUUGGACAGGUUGGACAAGCUGAAUUAUAGAAAAAAAGUCCCUUUAUUAACUGUGGAGUCAAUGUCCCAAAACCUGAUGACUCCCAAGGGACUGGGGAUGGGGUUCAGGACAAGAGCAGUGUGGAAUUAGAAGGAUCUCCUCACUUUUGCAAUGGAUAAAGAGACAAAUUGCAGCAAAACUUCCAUGAUAGAGGGUGAAGACUGCCAGGAUUUGUAUCCCAGCUCCCUGAAUUUUUCCAGGCCCCUUUGCAAUGCCCCUGGGGUGGGGGACAGGAAAGAAUUCCCCAUCCUGUGGGACCCCUGAGCUUUUCUCCACGUGCUCCCUCAAGGAGAUCCCACCUUGCACAGUAGAAAAGUAGUUUCUCUCCUUAUCUUUCCUUCCUCUUUUUCCUCUCU